UGUGUCAGAGAAUCAGGAGCAGCAGCAGUCGGUCUGUUCUCACAUUUAAGAUCUACAAUGAACCAGAAACCACCGAGUUCUGAACUCAACUGGAACUUUGUGGUCUCUCUUUGUGGCGGGAAGACUGACACAAAUCUCUUUCUUCACUGGAAGUUCCUUCGAUGAGACGCAGCACUUCACACCUGGAACUCAGUCAACAUGUUGAAACUCGCUCUGCUGUGUUUCUGUCACUGCUGCUGUUGGACAUCGGUGCAGCUGGAGGUUCAGUCCAGACAAUCAUCUCAGCUGUUGGACAAAAUGUCACUCUGCCGUGUCAAGUUCUAAACUACAGUGGAACCUUCGACGCUGUAAUGUGGAACAGACCAGACCUGGAGAAGAACCACUAUGUUUUUUUAUUCAAAGACGGACACAUCAAUCCAGAAGACCAGCAUGAUAUUUACAAGAACCGAGUGGAGCUGAAGGACAGAACGAUGAAGGACGGAGACGUGAGUCUGAUAGUGAAGGAAGUGACCUUCAAUGACAGUGGGAUAUUUCAGUGUUUCAUCCAGAGAGAAACCAAUAAUACGGACACAGACAACAAUGAGCUGAUCACCUCCAUCUCUCUCUCAGUGGUUCCUCCAGGAGACCCAGAAGAACAAGGAGGGAGUGGAGGACAUGUUGGUCUGAGUGCUGGUCUGACUGUCGCUGCUCUGGUUGUUGUUGGUAUUUUUGUUGUUGUGAUGUUUCUAAGACACCAGAAGAAGAAGAAGAAGAAGAAGAAGAACUCUCCUCCUCCUGCUGCUGCUGCUCCAGAACAAGAUAUGAUGUUGCGUCAGGUUAACACUUAGAGACACACUAGAGUCUCUCCUGACUCUCCUCUCCUCCACGUUAGAAAAUAUUCUCAUGUUGGAUCUUUAAAAACUGGACCUGCUGUUGACUCUGAUGAGAAACAUGUUUCUCAGUCUGUGGACUCUUCCGCCCCCUGCUGGUGACUUAGGAGAACUGCUGCACAUAUUUUUUUUUAAACUGACAUUAUUGUGACUGUUACAUUUUUUUUUACUCCUUUUUGGUUCUUACAAACAUACCGAUUUUAAAUGGAUAAGAAAAUUGUUUAGAAAUUCAACAGUUGUUCAGUUCAUUUUAAUAUUUUUCUUUUUUGUUUUAUAGCUUCACAUUUUAGAGAAAAAGAUUGAAAAAUCAUCUAAAUCCUUGUGAAGGAGAACACUGAGAAAAAAUAACUAUGGCAGCACGUGUCUGUACACAUUCACAAUGCCACAGUGUCUUGUAAAUUACGUGACUUCGUAAAAAAAAGAAAAAAAAACACUGAGUCAGCAGCCAAUCAGGUGUCAGGGAUCCUGUCACAUCA